ACUUAGUCGAGGAGUCCCACAAUAGGACGAAACGGCCGUCCAGUGU
rnacentral:hammerhead_ribozyme from 1 species